UUCAUCUGAGCUAUGGGCAUACUGGUCUUGACCUACAGGCUCACUUCCAGGUUGACCUCAUUGCAAUUUCGCCUUAUGACCUAGGCUUUUGGUUGGACCUGGCCACCAUCUGCAGGUCUGCCUGUUCCUCCUACUCCGGUACUGCAGAGAGGGGCUCCCUCCACACUGUGGCAGCUGUCCAUGGUGUCUGUGUUGGCUCCCUGCUCCUUAGGGAACACCUUGCUGUUCCCUGAUGAUAUCCAAGGCCUUGGUAGUCCAUGCAGUCACAUUCAGCUCCUGGAAGGGCUGAGAUGCUCUUCCCCUUGUUUUCAUGCAGGAGAAGGAAAAGCACAGCUUCUUCCGGGUGUGCCACUGGAUCUGGAGAUGUGAGAGGGAAAGAACUGGAAGAAAUGACUCAUGGCAACUCCCUUACACCAGCGGUAUUGGUACAACUGCUUCUGGCUUCUAGGUUGAAUGGAAUUUAAUUAGACACUGAUGAAGAGAAGGAAAAGUGUAGCGUAUGUGCACAUGGAGGGGCUGAUUUCUGCUGCUCCCUCUGCUCUGCACAGCUCGGUGCUGUGGGAGGAAAUCACGCAUGUGAAGGGAUGUGGAAGGUCUUAUGUUCAAAAUCUAAGUAUACUGAUUGUUUUAAAAAAUAAUCUUCAGAAUGGAGGAGGGAAGGUGGAGCAGUGGCAGCCAUCUAUCUGAUGGAAGAAGGCAGCAACAGGGAGGGACUCUGAGAUUGCUUUCUGCAAAGAGAAAGCUGGCAGUUUUAAUUGUAGGAGGAACACACCCUGAGGUCAACCACAGCACUGAAUCAUGUCAAAACCUAUGGCAUGUAUGUCUGUUCUUCCAUCCCCUCCACAGCCCUUUUACCUCAAAAAACAAAGAUAAGCUGAUGAAAAGGUGGAGUCAUUGAGUCACCUGGGAGUGCAAUUUUGCCAUGACAGCCACCCAGUUCCCAUCUCCUAACUGCAGCUCUGUCAGUCCCUAAUUCAGCAACCCCUUAACCACCCCACGGUGACCCCCAAUUACCAAAGUGGCAGCUGUGCAGUUCGCUUGCAUCUGGUUGAGCUGAUUUUUUACCAUUAUGGUCCCAACCACCUGCUGUGCAUUCGAUGUAACUUUUCAAUUAACAUUCUCCAAGGAUUUGUAGCCUUUGGUGUGUGUUACAGCCUCGGCCAUUCCCACACCCGUCACCCCUGGGCUGCAGUGCUAUAACUCUUCCUACCUGCUGCACAAACACAUCAGGCACAGAUUUAAUGGCAUCCACCUAAAUCCCUCCAGUCAGAGAUGUGUAAAUGUGUAUGUAAAGGCUGUGCAGAAGAAGCCUAAAUGCAAAAGCAAAGUAUUAUUGAAUGUGACUAGUGCCACUCACACAGACAGACACAGGAUUACAGCCCAGCAAAUGAAGGUUGAUACGGUAACUGCACCAGGCAGGAGCAGAAGCAAAGCUGUCCUUCUCGAUAUCAGGGUACUACAAACAGUCCAGGAGCAGAGGUGCACUGCUGCAGCUCUCCUGCCCGCCGUCCAGCUUCUGCUCAAAUGUCCCAUCCCAAAACCCUCGGUGCUGCACGAUGGUGGAGGCAAACCUGGCAGAUGCCCGAAGGAGUCAGUAAUCUGCUGGGGCUCAAUGAUGUGCUAACGACCUCAGAAGGUUUCCCCCCUUCCCGGCAUGGCUAAGGGCCCCAGAGGUUUUAUUUGGUAAUUAGUCAAGGUUCACUAUGGAAUGAAGGCAGCUGCUCUGUAGCUCACACCGAAGCUCACAGCCCGACUUUCAACACUGCACCUUUGCCCUGUUUUCCAAAGCAUCACCUCACUUACAUGUUUGGAGGAGAAACUGGGUUUUAAAAGGUGAUUAUUCUCUACCCCCAGCCCCUCAACACACACCCAUGCCCCCAAACACCUAAAACACGUAGUUGUAAAGUCACAGAGCUUGCUUUUAGCCAACAUUAAUCAAGAGAGCAUCAACCAGAGUUGCUGAGAUAAUGAUGAUUUAUUUCAGUGUUAAUAGCUUGCCAAGUAGAAAAAUCUCCUCGCACAACUAGCAGCCCGCUUGCUAGGUUGCCAUCUCAAAAAGCAUGUUUGGGGCGCAGGUCCAUUAGGCUGAAAGUGUGCUGAGGUGUCAACUUUUGCCAUCAUCAAAAGGUCUUGGAUUGAGUUGUCUGAUCCUAAUUUCCAACCUUAGGAUGCACCUUUGAAGUGGUGACUGUGCAAAGGGCCAUUAUUUCACAGAGAGGGUUGUCUAAUAUUAGAACAUGAGGGUUUUCCAUGUUAUGAAUGUAAUAGAAUUUGUUGCAUUAGUAAGUGAGGCAUAUUUAUUUGCUGCUAGUACUAUGAAGGUUUCACAUCAACA